rnacentral:misc_RNA from 1 species
GAAAACGGUGGGGUAGCCUAUAAUUUUGACCCAAUUCUGAAAUUUUUUUCAGUAGCCUAUUUGUCUGGCCCGAAAUUGCAGACUCGAGCAAUUGUUGAAUUUCAGUGAAUUGAAGGUACCUAUGUGAAGCUCAUAAUACGGGGGUUAGUACGUAAUUUUUACAAAAUUUAUUAAACUCAUUUAGUACUCGGAAAAAUACUGCGAAGUUCAGUGGGACCCACCGAAAAAAUGUCUCGAAAAAAUUCAAAAUGGGUACUACCGCAAAGCUUUCAUCGAGGGGAGCACUCCGAUACUCUCGGAUUUUUCGUGGAGUUCACGGUUUACGAAAAAUCUAGCCCAAAAGUCAAAAU